CCCCCCCCCCCCCCGCCGGGCUUCCACUUUACAGAUCAAGAUAUUGUCUAUUAAAAAGGUUAGAAUUUCAGAAUGUCACUUUGCUAGGGAAUGGUUAACAUCCGUAUUCCUAACUGGGACCCAGGCGGUUCCGUCUUCAGCCCCAUUUGCUGGCGUUUUAUCAACAAGCACACGAUUUUCUUUUUUUAUUCCUCCAAGACGUAUUUUAUUCCAGAGUUGCCUUUCGGGUGAUUCCCGGCACCUCCGAGGUGGCUGGUCCCAGCUGCUGUGGCUGCAGUGCAGGAGGCGGCACUCACUCCAAACGUGUGAACAGAGAGAAGUUUUAUCCCCUCUUGGUCCGUGUUUUGCCAGACUAAGCCUAGCUAAGCGUGUUCUUCCAGUGGGAAGCAGAAAGCUUUCACACGCAUUUCUGGGAGGGAGUGGAUGCUGCGCGCAGAGGGUAUCAGUUGCACUGCGGUCUCCAUCACAGCUUGCAUCUGGGAAAUGGUUCGAGGGAGGACAGAGAGGUUACGCAUCGGUGCUGUGCCAUGCAGAACUGUGCCUUCAUAAUAUGAAGCUGGUCGAAAUACUUGACUCCUAUGUAGGCCUAUUGCUCCCAGCAACUGCAGCAGUGGAGGGUUGGACAUCUUUGCUGGUCAACUGUUGUUGGACCUGAAUCUGCCAAUCUAGCACGAUGUGGUGAGGAUUGCAUCCUGGAGAGCAUACUGCAUGGAUCUCAGUCAUUUUAUUGUAUCAUGAUACCCCAGAGAAGCCUCAGUGACAGGUCAGGGCUUUGUCAGGCUAAGGCCACUGUGGCGGUGUGGCAAAACUCAGAGGUAGGCAACACGACUUCUAAGUCUUACAUGCACGCACAACGCUGAAUGUACAACCUAAAUAAUUCAUAAAAUGCAAGCAGGUCAGCAAAAAGACUUUGUGAUUAACAGAACAGGUCACAAUCACAGGAACCAAUUUCCUAGUCAUUGCUGAGAAUCUUGAGUGUAUCACUAAACACCUUAAAACGUCCCUCUCCGUAAGGGAAGAUACUGUGAUUUUCUGGUUCUUUCGUGUUCAGUGGGAUCUUUUCUCUUCUUCUUCAAAAAAGAAUGAUAGAAAGAUAGAUACCAAAGGCAGUGUUGCUGGAAUUAGAGAGAAGAAAUAAUGGUCCUGUGUCUUGUGAAAGAGGUUAGGAAGUGAAGGAAAGAGUUGAGAGGGCUUUUAAAAGAUAAGUGGCUUGUUUUAUUGCCUUGUAGAAAUGGGGGAACUGAGAUGGGGAUAUGGCUAAAAUACCAGCCUUGAGAGAUAAUAUGUGCUUCAGUAUUAUGAAUGUACUUAGACUUGUGGGUCAACAGGGAAGGUGAAAAGAACUGGCUGGGAAGGUGGGAGAACAAAGAGUGUUGAGGUGGGGUUUGGUUCUGUUUUUUGUUUUGCACAGAUCUUGGGCCAGUGGGUCCUGGGGAAUUGCUUAGUGCAUUGGUAUUUAUUGUAUGAAAAUGAGAUAUCUUGUGAAAUUGGACACUUAAUUCAGCAUCAGCCCUGGGCAAAGUGGUGGAAGGGUUGAUGUGGCACACAAAUCUCUAAGAAAUAAUAAUAAUUGGCAUUGAUUGUACAAGCAAUGUAUAUUUCUGAGCAAGAUUCCGAUAUGUUUGUUUGUAAUACUAGUGGAGGUGUGUUGAUAUCCUAGGAGGUUUGCUUCACUGUUUUAUUCGCAUGUAACACUGCUUUGUUUUUUUUUUAUUUCUUUGUUAAUAAAUCAGAACUUCAUUAAA